UCCAUGCAGUCGAGCGACGCAUGCCUUAGCCCGUAAGGGCGGGUGUGACGGAGCGGCGAACGGGUGCGUAACACGUGACCAAUCUGCCCCGAAGACCGGGAUAGCCCGGGGAAACCCGGAUUAAUACCGGAUGAUCUCACCAUCACGCAUGUGGAGGUGAGCAAAGGUUCAGGCGCUUCGGGAUGAGGUCGCGGCCCAUCAGCUUGUUGGUGAGGUAACGGCUCACCAAGGCAAUGACGGGUAGCUGGUCUGAGAGGACGAUCAGCCACACUGGAACUGAGAUACGGUCCAGACUCCUACGGGAGGCAGCAGGAGGGAAUCUUGCGCAAUGGGCGAAAGCCUGACGCAGCGACGCCGCGUGGGGGAUGAAUGCCUUAGGGUUGUAAACCCCUUUCACGAGGGAAGAAACUGACGGUACCUCGAGAAGAAGCCCCGGCCAACUACGUGCCAGCAGCCGCGGUAAUACGUAGGGGGCGAGCGUUGUCCGGAUUUAUUGGGCGUAAAGGGCUCGUAGGCGGCUUGGCAAGUCGGCCGUGAAAACCCAGGGCUCAACUCUGGGACGCCGGUCGAUACUGCCAUGGCUAGGGUCCGGUAGAGGGGAAUGGAAUUCCCGGUGUAGCGGUGAAAUGCGCAGAUAUCGGGAGGAACACCAGUAGCGAAGGCGGUUCCCUGGGCCGGCACCGACGCUGAGGAGCGAAAGCGUGGGGAGCAAACAGGAUUAGAUACCCUGGUAGUCCACGCCGUAAACGUUGGGUACUAGGCGUGGCGUCUUAUCAACGGAUGCCGUGCUCGAAGCUAACGCGUUAAGUACCCCGCCUGGGGAGUACGGCCGCAAGGCUAAAACUCAAAGGAAUUGACGGGAGCCCGCACAAGCGGCGGAGCAUGCGGCUUAAUUUCGAUGCAACCCGAAGAACCUUACCUGGGCUUGACAUCGCGGGAAAAGCCUUGGAAACAA
rnacentral:rRNA from 1 species